AUCACUGAUAACAGAUGAGAAGGGGGAAGAGGAGGAUUUCUCAUUUGCAAACAUGGCAGUCUGCUUCCAGCAGAGGAGAUUUGGCAAAUCCUUUGUAAGCAGGAGAGCAAAACCUCACCAUGGAAAAUGCAGCACACUUUACCCCCCAGUACCUGCAUGAUUACAUCCAGCUGGCUGACAGGAACAGGGUCUCUUGAGCUUUUUUUCUGCUUACUGUCUCCAGGAGGUUUUGAGCAUGCACAUGUCACACCCCAGGAAGAUGUGUAGCUGCAUGACACAGAACAGAAACUGUUUCUGUGAAAGGAAGAAAACAACUUUACAGACUGGGAAGGAAACAAGCAAUCUGGGCCAAGAGUCUAAACUCUUUCCCCUGAAUGCUUUCCCAGUCUUUGACCUCUCAUUAUUUAAUUAUCACAAGAGAAAUCUAAAGAGUGUAUUCAGUGACUCCUGAAUAAAUGCUAACCUGCAACAUGGGUCAUACUUACACACUUCAAAUUUUUACUGGUGCAUAUUGGACCUGAGCACUGUGACAAGUUCUGAGUCAACUCUGAAGAGCCAGAACAGCUGAGACACUGCUUAUUUCAGCAGACCAAUCAAGACAGACCAGCCCAAAUGUUUCUUGAUAUUGGAUUUUAUAUUUCUGCUUAUUAGAGGUUCAAUGGAUGUAAUGCCCAGCAUCUUCACCUGUGGUUUCUGCUAUGCCUGGCUCCAAGCAGAGGGCUUUCUAAAGGCCCUUCUUGGUCCCAUUAAGCAGCUGUGAAGAGGAUGGACAUGCAUGAUCAAGCUCAAGAGAGCAAAGGAGGCAACACUGUGCAGCACAGCAAGCUAAAGAUUACAUCCAAGAAGUUGUUCCAGGCUAAAUUCUAUUGUCAAGGUGAGGAGAUGCCAGCGAGCUAAUCUCCCCAUUGCCUCCAGAUCCCUGCCCACAAGCCUGCCAGCAGCAAUUGAUGGGGAUCAUUCCACUCUUGAGGAAUACAAGCACACACACAGCAUACUCAUCAGAAGAACAUCUUCCUUCUUGUAUAUCAUUUAGUUCCAGGAAUGCCCAGUUCUCUGCCACUUUGCUAUGCCUUGUUUUGGAGAUCCACCACCUGCCACUUAAUGACCUACUCUGCUGGCCACUGUCAUCACAGUGAGCCAACAUCCUGAACGUUCAAUAAACUGUACUGUAUCUCAGGCAUGAUGAUGCAAAGAAAAUGUAAGUGUUCAAAGAGAGGUCUCAAGAGACAGCACACUAAAAGUCUUGUAUUGAUGCUUCAGCCUCAGAUGAAGCCAUCAAGGUCUUUCAUACUGGCAAUCUGUUCUAAAAAGGCAGCAUCUCCUCCUGACAAUGGUCCCAUUCCGGCCUUUACAUCUCCCAAAAUGUAUAUAGUGCCCCUUGCAUUUACACUCUGUUUUUUUUCUUAGUCCCUGCAUGCAUUCCUGUCUGUAACACUAUCUCUUUUGAUAAAAUUACUUUUCUGUCCACCAUACCACUAACAGUUGCACUUCCCAGAAACACACUCCUGAUAAAUAAUGCAGCUGGGUUGCAUGAUGCACACCUGUCUAACAUGGUAGCUCUGGGCCUCAAUCAGUAGUUCUUCCUUGUCUGUGACAACAGGUACUAUAGAAAAAGGCCUUUAUCCACCAGCCUAACAGGGGCUGUAGAAGGAAAGUGUUCUGCUUGGCUGACAAAAGUAGGACAUCAAGCCCCAGUCUCACACAGUCUCAGUUCUGGCUCAAUGUCAUGAGUAUUUCAUCUUGCUGGGAAAUACUCUGGUUGCAGACAUCCAGCAUUCAGUUGCUCCCAGCUACAAAGAGAAACUCAUAUGAGUGAGUUUCAGAUCCCAAUUCUGAUACAUAUUGAAUACAAUUUUUAAUACAACUGUCAGGACAAAAGGCUUUACUGGCCAAUGACCAUUUCUGGAGAAAUACAUCAAGGAUUUAGGGAGGACAUAGGGACCUACGUCCAAAACUAAACUGGAAAAGAAAAACAAAACAAACAAACAAAAAACACCAAAAAACAAAACCCAAACCACUGGUUCUGACUCUUUGGGAAUUUUUUCCUUACGCUUACUGGUUUAAAUUCCUCCACUCCUAGAGGCGCAAUGCUGAGCAUGCCUAGAAAUGCCUUCCUGCUAACCUGGUUGAACAGGUUGCCAUCUAAGCCUAAUCAGUUAUCAAAGACUGGAAUACAAAUUCUCUGUUCUAUUAGCAGCCAGCAAGACAAAUCUUCCAGUUCAAUCUUUCAGGCUUAAUACAAUUAGUUACAGAUUUUCUGAAAAUGGUCAGCAUUUCAUUGCAGGAGCCAGAUGCAACCACAGCCCUUUCUGCAACAUAAAUCCUGAAUUGCCUUGUCACUUGUGCUCCAAAAAACCUCCCACUGCUCUAGCCGGAGACUGGGCUCCAGCACUCCACUCAGCACUUUUAGCAUCCUCACAGCCCUGGUUGCCAAGAUGGGGAGAGGUUUGCUGUGAGCUCAUCACAUGCUGAGAAACUUUGUUCAGGGUUUGUGCAAUGACACAUACAAUGGACGGUCCGUGGGACUUGUCUACAAAGCCUCUAGUUUCAAAAUACAAGCCUUCACCUAUUUAGCACAGGAAUAGCUCCAUUAGAUGAUAAUAUCAGGAAAUUAUGUACUUUAUUCAGACACCUAUAGGAGAAGGGUACAAUAAUAAGUGUCUAUUGAGAAAAAAUAUUAAAAAUAAAAAUAUAAUAAAAUACUCCAAAAUCCUUGGUGGAAAGAGCUCAUAGUCCUUGAGUUCUCAAGGAGCAAAUGUUUUAUGAUCCACCAUUCUGAGAUCCUCCACUCAUCUUUAUGCCGUAGAGAGGUAUUUCUGUUAAGCAGCUCUAGCUAGUUGGAUAUCUAGUCAGAGAUGAUUGUCUAAGGUCACAUAAUAGCAGAUAUGUAGCCAGCUCCAGAGGAAGAGCCACUCCUCCCCACUCAGGCACCUCCCUUAGACACUCCAUAUUGACCAGAGAAGCUGAGGUGACUAGUUCAGACCAGGCAGCUACUUUAAAAUGAUGGGUUCCCAGAUACCACCCUGUGUAUGCAGCUAGACCCUGGUGUGGGUGCAACAGAGAGCCUGUUGCUGCCCCAUGCUGGGCCAGGGCUUGUUGCAGGCAGGGCACCCUGCCCAAUCCUGCUCCCACUGCCAGACUUGCUCCACAAGCACCUGGCUGAGGAAGCUAAUUCUGAGUGGAGUUCUGAGUGGAGCAAGAGAUUAAUGGUCUGGGAAAGAUGGUGUUGGUGAUGAUGAUGGGGUGAAGGAGAUACAAAAAAAGAGUGGUGGUCUCUCCUCUCCCACUGACACUGGCAAUCCCAUUGACAGCCAGGUAUUGUAAAUCCCAUCACACAGGUCUCACACUUCCAUCUUUGUACAAGCUCAUUUGUUACUGUGAGUGGGCAUGUAGGAGAUGUGGCUGCCAAAGCAAAGCUGCUGGAGGGAGGAGAGGCAGUGAUACCCCAUCUGCAGACCAGAACACGCUGCUCCCCAUGCUACAGAAAACAACCUCUGUGAGGUACUUAUGGGAAGGACAGGGAGACAACCAGCAUUCAGAUGUCCUGAAUAUGCAGAUUUAUAUUUGGAGGCUGUUAGAAAUAAAAUAUUUUAAAGCAAUCACAUUAAUCAGGGACUUCUUAUGCAUUUGCUGCAAUGAGACCCAAAUGAAAGGAUCACGAGUGCACACUGCAUGUAAAGGUUAAUCAAAGGCAGCUUCUUCUUUUGGCAGCUACUUUCUUCUGCUGAUCUUUGCCAGGAAGCAUGUACUCCAUUGUUUUUCUUUCUUUUUUCUCUUUUUUUUCCCUUUCUUUUAACUAUAUAUGUGCAACUCCCACUCUCAGGUUUUCUAAAAGUUAUAUCACACCCUUUUUAUACACAAGGAGAAGAAAAUGGUGAACCUGUAACAUUGCAAAUGCUACUUUGAAAAAUGGGUUUCCAGGAGUUUUGAUUGAGACUUUUCUAUGUCUUUUGUAGAAGGGGCUGAUGGAUCCUUUUUCGCAGACAUUGCAGGUAAUCCCUUUAAGAAAACCACCUGAGCUAGCAGAAAACCUCAGAGCAUCCCCUUUGUCAAGCAGCUGUGCAGGCUUGUUGAUAUAUUUGUUCUGGGGACAAUGCCUCUUACACACUUACCACUGGGGAGCAUUUGGAAACACUUCAUGGAUGGAUUCAGCAUUAAGCAAUGGGGUUGGCUGCAGACUGCAGUACAAGAUCGUGGUAUUUCAACAAGCCAAUGCCAUUUGUAGGUGACAUUUACCUGGUAGCAUUCACCUUGGGGAAGCACAGAUAUCACCUGUGCUCUCAUUCACACAGGCAAAUCACCUAACACAGCUUCAAUCACAGCUAAGCCAUCACAGGAGCCCUGAUGGCAGAAGUUGCAAGAGAAGCAUUAAAUCAAAGCACCACCAUUCAGCUGGACAGUGUACCUGUGCUGCUUCUGCUGGAGGUGGAAUGGAUCUGUCUGUGUGGGUCAAGACUUGUAGGGCUUCUCAGACCCUCCUGCUGCUGUGAGCCAGUGCUAGGACAAAUCCAGGUGGGGAUGCUUGGUCCUUUGGUCCAGAAACAGGGCUGACGUUGGCUGCACUCUCUGCCAUAAGCACCACACUUCCCAUAAACCAUUAAUUUUUAACUUCUUUCAGUCUAUGUCAGAAACUGUAAAAUAACCCAUACUCAAUUUGAAAAAGAGACUGAGAUAAACCAAGAUAUUACCUUUCCUCUUUGAAGGAAUUUUACUCUCCAAGGCCUAGUAGGUGCAGUAGGACUGUUUGCACAUUCCACCAUCUCUGUCCUUUCUUUCUAGCUCCUCACUGGGCUUUUCUCAUCACAGAAACUCUCUAAUAAUUUUCCUCUUCAUGUUCUUAUGCCAUUUCUAAAAUUUACUCUCUGAACUUUCAUCUUGUUUAAAUUUCUCUUUAUCUCCUUUUUCCAUUACUAGAAAAAUAUAAAAGCUAAAUGAGGUGAAUGAGAGUUUAACCCUACAAUGUAGUUGCACUUUCCCAGUCAAGCCCUGGUUCUUAGACUCAAAAUUCUUACAAUAAAUUUUCUCCUUAAAACUUAGAACAGAUGCAGCUAACAUGCCCAAAAUUUUGAAGGCAGAUUUCUGAGUUCAUUUCAGCCCUCUAGGUUAAAAAAUGUCUUCUGGCUCUGCUCUCAAGAUACAUCAAGUGGUCAUGCUGUCUUCUUUCAAAUCUUCACCUGCAAAGAGUCUCCAUCUUGAUUUCUUAUCCACAUUUAGACUAUUUAUUUUAAAAUUUGUAGUUCAUCUAGUAAGUUUGCAAGGAAGGUAUAAGUGAGAUCAAAAGUCUACUUUGGUUGCUGUUAUUUGUCCAUGCAAAGCAGUAUAGUACAAUCUCAGUGCUUUUUCCCUUUAGAUGCAGUGUCUUUAAAAGCAGUUGAUACCAUUGCAGCAUGUUAUCUGCACCUGCAUUAAAAACAUCACUUGGGUUGUCCCAAGCACUCGGGGACAUUCUGGUGACAUUUAGAUGGGUACAGCACAGCAGAAGGGAGGUGGGGUGUUCUGCGCCUGGGCUUAGCCAUGAGACAUGGUUGUUGUUGUGCCACACAACCCUGCCCCUCCAGCUAGCUGGGAUCCAUCCAGAGUCUCCAAGAAGGGAUAGAAUACUGUUUCAGCUUCAGCAUGGAAAAUCUCCCUGCAGUGCAAAAAUCCAUAAAUACCCAACCCCUGUCAGGGGCUGGCAAUUUUGCUGGAGGUCUUGUUCAUGACAGCUUGUCCAUCCAGGUCAGGAAGAGGUGGAUGGAUGGAUGGAUGGAUGGAUGGAUGGAUGGAUGGAUGGAUGGAUGGAUGGAUGGAUGGAUGGAGUAGCCCUGGUAAACCUGUAUGCUGCCAAAAACCCAUUCAGUGAAUGACUUCCAUCUUCCAUGCAGUUUCAUAAACAUUUUUAACAGCAUAUAAACUGGAGAAGGUCAGGAUUUCUUCUGGCUAAACAAUAUUGGUAGUCUGUGAUCUAAGAAUGGUUUUGUUUUAGUCACGGAGCAAAAUUCAAAUUUUCUAAAACAAAAUAAACAAGGUGAAAGAGAAUAAGAGAAACAGAGAGAAGGGAAGGGCUAAGAUCUGAUAAAUGUUGGAGACCAUGACCUAUUACUUAUGAAAUUACUGAGCUGUGAAAAUAAAAGUUUGUUCUGUUCUGCUUAGGAAUUUAGGUACACAAGACAAACAGCAUUUCUCUGAUCAAAUACAGCUUUUCAAUGGAGCAAAUACAUUGGUAAACAUCACAAGCUGUGUUCUAAAAAUUUUUUAUUCCACCAAAUUCUCCUCAGUUUCUUUGGCCAUCUCUUAUUAUCUUCUUAGUGGACACUAGCUCACAACUUUUCUAUGUAUGCUGUUUGUCUCACUGGUAUUGCAGGACAAAGUGCAGCCAUCCAAGAUAUGUCUCCAGUGAUAAGAUGAUUCAAAACUGUUCAUAUGACUUAUGUGCUACCUAUCCCUACAGAUAUUUUAUUUUCCUUCACAGCUGCCUUUCCCGAUUUUAUCUCAUUGCCACUUACCAGAGUGUUUGUUGUGUGGGUGUAUUGCUAGUGAACACAGCCUAGCUAGAUUUACUUUAAAAUGCUGUAGUAAGUUAUUAUGCCUUAUCAAAGUGCAAAUAUUAUGUUCCUACCCACAUGCCUCUUGCUAAGCUGCAGGUCUUUAGACUGGAGUCCCUUCCUCCUACCCAGUUGGUGUAAAAGCUUAGACAGAGAGUUAGGUAUCUAUUUAUGUUUGGAAAGUAAAAUCAAUGAGUCCAAAAGGAAUUUAACCAAUAUUUUGAGUUUGUGUGCACAUGUAUAGCCAUGGUGUAUAUCAAUAAAAGCUCUUUA